AAUGAUGAAUACAUUUGUUUUUACAGGCUGGCUGUGAGAAGUUUGAAGGGGAAACCUGCACCAGGGAGUAUGAUCCAGUAUGUGGCAGCGAUGGAAAGGUCUACAGCACCGAAUGUGUCCUCUGCCAGGAAAACAGAAGAGAGAAGACGAAUGUGAAAGUGGCAAAGAAAGGGACAUGUUCUCCUUAACC